rnacentral:rRNA from 1 species
AGGGUUUGAUCAUGGCUCAGGACGAACGCUGGCGGCAUGCCUAACACAUGCAAGUCGAACGAGAAAGUUCCUUCGGGAGCAAUUAAAGUGGCGCACGGGUGAGUAACGCGUAGACAAUCUGCCCUUCAGUCUGGGACAACUUUUCGAAAGGAGAGCUAAUACCGGAUAACAAUGCAUGACACAAGUUGUAUAUUUGAAAGCUUUAUGUGCUGAAGGAGGGGUCUGCGUCCCAUUAGCUAGUUGGUAAGGUAAAGGCUUACCAAGGCAACGAUGGGUAGCGGGUUUGAGAGGACGAUCCGCCACACUGGAACUGAGACACGGUCCAGACUCCUACGGGAGGCAGCAGUGGGGAAUAUUGCACAAUGGAGGAAACUCUGAUGCAGCAAUGUCGCGUGAGUGAAGAAGGCCCUUGGGUCGUAAAGCUCUUUUAUGGGGGAAGAUGAUGACGGUACCCCAAGAAUAAGCACCGGCUAACUAUGUGCCAGCAGCCGCGGUAAUACAUAGGGUGCGAGCGUUGUUCGGAAUUACUGGGCGUAAAGGGCGCGCAGGCGGAAUAGUAAGUCGGAGGUGAAAGCCCGGGGCUCAACCCCGGAGGGUCUUUCGAAACUACUAAUCUAGAGAGGGUCAGGGGCCGGCAGAAUUCCUGGUGUAGAGGUGAAAUUCGUAGAUAUCAGGA